AUAAGCAAUGCUCUCUGUUCCUUUGCAGGGCUUAUGGACCUUCUGAGUGCAGGGGACCAGGUCUUGGCAGAUCGUGGAUUUCUGUUGCAUGAUGAAUUUGCUAUGCGAGACGUGCAGCUCAUCACGCCCACGUUCACUAAAAACAAGAAACAACUGAGUGCUGUGGAAACAACAAAGUCCCGAAGAAUAUCCUCUACACGGAUCAUUGUGGAGCGAUCCAUUGGGCAUCUAAAGAAGUGGCGUAUACUGACUGCCCCCUCACUGUCAGCGAGCAUAACGGCGAGUCGAAACUGAUGUCAAUUACCGCUGGUCCAUCAGGAAGGUCAUCGUUAUCUGACAGAUCAUCACCACUGUCUGAGGCACUGUCCACCUGUGCAAGGAAUGGGGCAAAGUCCGUACGCAGCUGCUGUGUUGCUUCUCGAGGCUUCUUCUUCUGCCCGACCUCUGUCCGUUUAUGGGCGAAUAGCAGUUGAUCUGCUGGUACAGGUUGAACCUAAAAUAAGAUAUGGAAAUUGCAAUGUCUUAGCUAAAAACGCUUCAAGAGGUAAAGGUAAUAAAAUUUCCAUGGCAAAAAACAUUGCAAAGAAUGUCUCCUGCUGCACCUUUUUAAGACAAGGCACAACCCACUUGCAAGGCUGGUCAGUUGGUCCAGUGGAUUCUGUCCUCUCCUUGUGCCACAUUCCUAUUGUGAAGCACAAGGCUGCAGCAUGGCUGCAGCACCUGCCCCACCUGCACACCAUUUAAAAUCAUUCAGUACAGCUCUUCAUUUACUGUAGAGUUAUGUACCUACCCUGCCAUGCAUGUACAGUAUGCACCAAGGAUCUUGCCCUCUCCUGUAGCUGCCAGCCAGCAGGUGUAUGGACUUUCACUUCUUUGUGAUGGGCUCACUUCACCUCUUAUCACA